GGAAGGGUGGCCGAGUUGGUUGUGGCGCCAGGUUAAGGUCCUGGUGGGGCAACCCGCGCGAGUUCGAGUCUCGUCCCUUUCA
rnacentral:tRNA from 1 species